rnacentral:misc_RNA from 1 species
GCCAAAAUGGUGAACGUUCCCAAGACCAAGAAGACCUACUGCAAGAACAAGGAGUGCAGGAAGCACACCCUUCACAAGGUCACUCAGUACAAGAAGGGUAAGGACAGCCUGUCUGCCCAGGGAAAGCGCCGUUAUGACCGUAAGCAGUCAGGAUAUGGUGGUCAGACCAAGCCUGUUUUCCACAAGAAGGCAAAAACCACCAAGAAGAUUGUGCUGAAGCUG